rnacentral:rRNA from 1 species
GGAAAGAUGAAAAGAACUUUGAAAAGAGAGUUAAAUAGUACGUGAAAUUGUUGAAAGGGAAACGAUUGAAGUCAGUCAUGCCAGUGGGAAUCAACUUAGAGGAAACUCUAGGUGCACUUCUUCGCAUGGCAGGUUAGUGUCGAUUUUGGAUGUCAUAAAAUGACUGGGGGAAGGUAGCUCCUUUGGGAGUGUUAUAGCCCUUGGUAGAUGUGAUGUCUGGAAUCGAGGAUUGCAACGGAUACCCUUUAGGGCUAGUCACCUGAUCUCUAAUUAGUGCUAGAUUACGGACAGCAUGCUGACCGUGAUUUAAUUAUUGGUUAAAAGGUUAGAGUGCACAUAAAUUCGUUAAGGACACUGACGUAAUGGCUUUAAACGACCCGUCUUGAAACACGGACCA